CUCUGUGACUCCUACGGGGAGGCAGCAGUGGGGAAUAUUGCACAAUGGGGGAAACCCUGAUGCAGCCAUGCCGCGUGUGUGAAGAAGGCCUUCGGGUUGUAAAGCACUUUCAGUAGGGAGGAAGGUAGUGUAGUUAACACCUGCAUUAUUUGACGUUACCUACAGAAGAAGCACCGGCUAACUCCGUGCCAGCAGCCGCGGUAAUACGGAGGGUGCGAGCGUUAAUCGGAAUUACUGGGCGUAAAGCGCAUGCAGGCGGCCUGUUAAGUCAGAUGUGAAAGCCCGGGGACGUUAACCUACCGGUAAAUUGCAUUUAGUAAACUAGGCGAGGCUAGAGUCUUGUAGAGGGGGUAGGAAUUUCAGGUGUAGCGGUGAAAUGCGUAGAGAUCUGAAGGAAUACCAGUGGCGAAGGCGGCCCCCUGGACAAAGACUGACGCUCAGAUGCGAAAGCGUGGGGAGCAAACAGGAUUAGAUACCCUGGUAG
rnacentral:rRNA from 1 species